GACAGAGGGUGCAAACGUUGUUCGGAAUUACUGGGCGUAAAGCGCACGUAGGCGGCUUUCUAAGUCGGGGGUGAAAUCCUGGAGCUCAACUCCAGAACUGCCUUCGAAACUGGCGAUCUUGAGUCCGGGAGAGGUGAGUGGAACUGCGAGUGUAGAGGUGAAAUUCGUAGAUAUUCGCAAGAACACCAGUGGCGAAGGCGGCUCACUGGCCCGGUACUGACGCUGAGGUGCGAAAGCGUGGGGAGCAAACAGGG
rnacentral:rRNA from 1 species